rnacentral:rRNA from 1 species
UACGUAGGGUGCGAGCGUUAAUCGGAAUUACUGGGCGUAAAGCGUGCGCAGGCGGUUCGACAAGUCCGAUGUGAAAGCCCCGGGCUCAACCUGGGAAUGGCAUUGGAAACUGGCGAGCUUGAGUGUGGCAGAGGGGGGUGGAAUUCCGCGUGUAGCAGUGAAAUGCGUAGAGAUGCGGAGGAACACCGAUGGCGAAGGCAGCCCCCUGGGCUAACACUGACGCUCAGGCACGAAAGCGUGGGGAGCAAACAGG